rnacentral:lncRNA from 1 species
GUCUUGGAGCCGUGUGACUUGCAAAAGGCCCAGUUAAAAGGGACUCAGAUGAGGCCUUGGAGCCUGCAGCUUCACCCAGGAGCACCUGUGAGUGGUGCGAGAGGGGCAGACAGUGAGAACAGAGGGCUGGGGCCUGGGGAAGUUCUUGGGAGCCCCCGUCGCCCCUUCGUGCUUUCUCUCCCCUUGGUGCUUUCACAACCUCUUUCCAGGUGUGCUGGGUGCCCAGGGGCUUUCGCUUUCCCAGGGUCUGGAUUUCCGGGUUGUGCCCCUGUUUUAUCUUUACUGGGUUUCUCCCAACGGUAAGGUAUGUUUCCUUCAUUUUCCAUUCCAGCAGGAUACUGCUUUUGGCUUGCUGUCCAAUGCUGGGGAAAAUGAAAGCAUUAACUCACAAGGCAAGUUCCAAAGGUGCAGGGCGGCUUCUGGAAUAUAUGGCCCUGAGGGUAGCAGACACAUGGGAGGGAAGGUAUGAAAUCCAAAUAUGGAUUCUUAUGAGGAAUUUCAGGUAUUCUGGCAGGCUGACAGCUGAAAUAUUUAAUUGAAAAAAUAUUUCCCAGCUUCCUCAAUUCACAGCACAGAGUUCUGCCCUCUCAGCCUAAACAAGAGGCAGGCCCUCCUGGUGGCUGCCCCUCUCCUGAAUGCCUCACAGGAGCCUGUCUCAGUCUGGGGCUGUGCUGAGCUACCUCUUAGCAGUUUCUUUAGUCAUUUUAAGGUAGGGUUUCCUGGGUCAGCCAGAGACGUGCAUAUCUAAAAGUCUCUUAUGUCUGCAUGGCUAAAGGCUCAUGAUUUGUAAGGCUAAUGAGGUUUAUAGAACAUUUAACAGAGUUUUUUGAAAAUUUGGAAACAAUGCAGCCGUUAUCUUUGAGAGCAUCCUUGCCCUUGAGUUUCCCAGCUGAGAUCUCCUCCCUGGGGUCUGGCUUCUCUCAUCUCUUUGAAUUGCACACAGGCUUCCAGUGGACAGCACCUGCUGCUCUGCCAGCCCCAGCCAAACCUCUCCUUGCUCAGUUUUAUCCUGUUCCUAGGAGGAAACUGGUCUUUCCUUGGCCUUAAUAAAAGCCCAAAUCCAUGCACUUCACAAGACCAGUCCCCAGCUGGCCCUUUUCCAUGGUUUAGAAUCUUUGGCCAAAAGUUGACUGUGUUUGUCAUCUCCUGCUGGACUGUCGGCUCUGGGGCUAGAAAAGCCUGGAGAGAUGGGUAAGAGCCAGGACAAAGAAACAGAAGACUUUUCUUGCAAAGAAUAAAAGGAAAGAAAGGGGCCACAAGCCAAGGCCUCUGCCGCAGCAUCUAACAGCUGGAAAAGGCAAAGAUACGGGAUCUCCUGGAGCCUCGAACAGGAGCCAGCUCUGCAGACACCUUGAUUGCAGCCCAGCAAGGCCCAUGUCAGGCCUCUGGCCUCCAUAACUUGAUAAUAAAGUUGUGUUUUAGUUCUUUGUUACAGGAGCAAUAUGGAGAGGGACUAAUGAACUGCCAUUGUAUUAAACCACUGGCAAUCAGAGUUGUUUGAUAAAGCAGUCAAGUCAACCUAAGUAAAACACUUAAGGACCAAGAAAUAAAGUCCUCACUUGAGGAUAGUGAGAUCUGAGAGCAGUAAAGCCACUUCCUUCUCGUGAGACCGACCCCUCUUGCAGACCUGCCUCUGGCCUGGCCCCAUGGAGUGGCAGGCCCCGGUCCUCCGCUCUUCGGGUCACAGGUGGCCCAGCAGGCUCUGCGCACAGCAUUUCGGCAGCACAGCAAUGCCUAACUUAAUACUCACUCCGGGAACAAGCCAGCUGCAAGCUGUCAACGCUAAGUCCCCCUAAUGCUUUAAUUGGUACUUACUCUAGUAAGUUCAUUUAAAAGUCCCCACCUCUGCCAGAUGCACAGUGAAGCUGACCCGACAAGAGGGCCUGACGGUGGCAGAGCAAUGUGAUAAUUAAUGCGUCCUGCUUUCCUCUGCUUGAAUUAAUGUUUUCAUGUCACUUAGACAUCACUCCUGGAAACCUUUCUGGUUUUCAGUAAUCAGCAGUUCUCCAUCCCAGAACCCAGUAGAUGAUCAAUAAGUGGUUGCCGAGUGAACGAAUGGCUGAGUCAGAGAUCUCGAAGGGUCAGAUUUCACUUGGUUCAAACCCCAACCAGUCUCUGAGAAACUGAGCCAGGGAGGCCUCAGGAGGCCUCGAGACGCCAGGGUACGAGCUAACUGUGGCUGGGAAGGUUGUGUAAAGAGGAAUACAAAGCAGCCUGGGCAUCCCAAAUGCUGCCACAGACGUGUCAGAGUGGCUAGGAGCCAUGGCCUGCACCCAGGCAGGGGCCACUCCCCAGCUGUGGGAGCAGAAGGGGCCCAGCACAGCCGGCCGCGGAGCCCGCAGGAGCCCCGGUACUCGGGAGGAGCCGGACGCCGACUCCAGCAGCGCAGACGCCGCCGGGGAGGCCCGUUGAGGAGCGCGCAGCUGAGUCCCGGUAGAGGAGGCGCCGGCCUGGAGAGGCUGGGGGCGGAUCCGCUGGACCAGGCGGGGUAGCGAAGGGUGGAGUUGCACAGAGCGGCCUCGAGUCCGGACUGGGGAAGGCUCAGACAGGGGGUGGAACAAAGGCCAGAAAGGAGGCGGGGGUCAGACCGGGGCUGGAUCAUGAAGGCGGCAGAGAGCUCGGAGGGAGCCCAACAAGGCCGUGCUGCGGCCCGGUUUUCCUUCCGGUGCUGAGGAUGGCGGCGGCCUGGUUUUCCUUCCGGUGCUGAGGAUGGCGGCGGCCUGGUUUUCCUUCCGGUGCUGAGGAUGGCGGCAGCCGCGGGACGGUGCUGAGGAUGGCGGCGGCCAUGGAAGGUGCUCCCUGCUUCUGCGCGGAUCCAGGCCUUCGGGAUCUCGCCCUCUGCAGUGCGGAGAACUCACUGGACGGAGACGAGAGAGGCGGCGGCGGCUGCACAGCUGGUGCGUGGGGACUGGGGGGCGGGUGAGCGCUGUCCUUGGCUGGGGAGGAAGCGCAGCCCCCGGAAGCCCGCCUGGGGCUGCAGGGAGAAAGGAGGGCGCCCCAGAGCCAAGGCUGCCCGCUGGUCCCUGCGACCGGGGCCCGGAGAAAGUGCGGGAAGGAGAGAGAAGGCUGGUGGCCGCCUGCCUCCAGGGCGGGCCUCCGAGCAGUGCCCUGUCCCAGCCACAGCCUUGCUUCUUUUGAUCCUCAUCACGACCGCUCUCCGGGCCAGGCCGUGGGUGAGGCCCCCAGGCCUUCAGGGGAGAAGCCGGGGUCUCCAGAGAGAGGUAACAGAGUGAGAACGGCCGUGGGUAGCGCGCCCCUCGGCCCCGCAGCUCUCCACAGGCCUCUGGCGAGCUCAGCUGACCUGCCCCAUCAGUGAGGUCUCUGCUCAGCUACCACCUGCUCUGAGAAGCCUUCUCUGCCAGGGUGACUCAUUACCCUGAUUUGCCAGGACUGAGUGGGUUCCUGGAGCGGCCUGGGAGCCGGCGGCGGUGGUGGCUUUCCUGAGCCCUGUUUGUCUAAUGUAGGCCCGGUUCGCACUGUUCAUUCACUCUGCUCCUCAGUUACUUUACGGCAAUUAACACCAAUCUGUUCUCAAAACGUGAGGUCCUCUUGCUCAGGGCUGUGUUCCUAGCACGCGGCCCUUGCCUGACACACGGCUGACAUUCAGCGCACAUUUAAACGAGUAGAUCAACUGCUCCAUCUUCCCCCAGAAGCUCUGUCUGUCCCUCCACAACUUGGCUCAUGCCAUCUCUUCCAUAAGCGCCGUGUGCUCUUCUCUCUCAGAAAAAAACUAUUUGUUUCUUGACAGCUCAGCUCAAAUAUCAGCUUCUCUCGACCCCAGGCACGAGCGUGGGUCCCGAAACCCUGGUGCCCUCCACAGUGUGUGUUCAGUAAAUGACUCUACGUUUAUCCCUGUAGCUGCCAGUGUUAUCAACUUUGGCCUAUGUUUUCUGAAUUAUUUUUGAAUCUUUAUUUUGUAAUCCAAUCUAUUAGUGACCCAUAACAGGCCGUGUCAUCCACAAUUAAAUAAAUGUGCACUCUCUAUUCAUCUUGUUUUUAUCUAUUUAAAAUAGGCUGCACAAAACGGGGCUAAUAAAUGUCAUCUGUCAUGCAGUUGGAAAAGACAAAUGAGAUUGACCUGGGCAAAACAGACGUUCAGCGUGGGGAAUUAUGUUGGACAAAAGCUCCAAUCUCUCCUAUACUCAGAGAUUUUUCCUCUCUGCCCUCAUAGCCAUCCCUGCUCACCACAGUCCUCAUAUCCUUAAAGGGACACCCUAGUGAUUACUGACGCCACGACAUCUGCUCUGUUCUCCGAAACCAAAUCUGAUCUCCUUUCAUCUUAAAUACUGUAGGCAGCCACUUUACUCAUUCACUCAAUACAUACUUACUAAGCAUCUUGCAAUUUUGCAGACAUUGUACUGGACAUGGGGUUACAAAGAAGGAUGAGCUGUGGGUAGGGCUUUGCUUUGUGCUAUAUCCAUUCAGGUACGUGUCUUCAUCUAUACUCUGUCACUUGUGGCUUAGGCACAUUAUGCAGAACUUCUGAGCUUCAGUUUACCCACCUGUAAAAAUUGGGAUAAUGUGUCCUGUUUCACGUAGUUCUGCAGGUUAGGUGAUGCUAGGAAGCACCUAGCGCAGCGUUUGGUCCAUGACAGAGGUCCUUCAAUGCCCAUUCUCCUCCUGCUACAUGCCAGACUGUACAAGACGGCUUUCUCCCUUCCCUGCUGCAUCCAGCAAAGGCCUUGACCCCCGAGAGGUCUGCUGGGGUUUGUUGUUCUGAAUCGAGUUGGAGACGGGGUGUGAUCCCCAAGAGUUGGCUUCUUGCCUCCCUAGAGCAGGACUGUGCCUGUCUCACAGUCACGGCUUGGGGGACAAACACCUGCUGUUGAGGUGGGAGGUCUGUGGUCUUUUUGGAGGUCCCUUUGGGCAGGUUCAAGGUGCAGGAUCUCCCGUGGACUCAGAGCUGUGCAGGGCAGGGACUGGCUCCACAUGGGCAGAGUUCCUCCAAGCUAAUGGAGGGGGUGAGAGUCCCAGGCCUCCGUGGGUCCUGAGGUUGGUGUGUCCUAAUGAGGUGGCCUGUGAAGACCUGAGGGGCUUGGCCACAGCCCGUCUCUGGGGACCUAUUUUUUCAUCCCCUUUUCCAUUCUUCCCUGCCUUCUUCUGUCUAUUGCUUGUUCUACCUUGUUUCUGUGCCUUCUCUGUUCUCCAUCCCACUUCACCACAGCCCCUCUUCUCCUCCCUGGGUUGGGCUUCAGCUGCCCCAACUCCUGUACUUAGGUAAGUCCACCAAUGCCUGACGCUGUGCAAAGCACCCUGCAGAACAAACAACAAAUCUGUGUGCCCCAGUUUGGAAAAGCUUAUGACAGUCCCUGCAAAUUUCCACCUUUUCCCCCUUUUGAAUGACCAGCUUUCAGUGUCCCUUACCUCCUGCUCCCUCCGGCGCCCUUCCCACUUCCUCCCUCCCUCUCUGUCCCUCAUUACUCUGUCUCUUGAAGUGGCAUUGGAAUUCUAGAAAAGAAAUCUAUCUCACAUAUUACAGAGCGGCUUCUCCAAUGAUCUCAUUGCAAUGAUAUAAAUAUACUUAAGGCAAGUAAAAAGCUAUUUAAUGAAAUAAAUUAAGAAAAAUGUACAGGAAAGCCUUGAAUUUCAUACAAAUCAUUCAAAAUGAAUACUAAAUCUGUUGGCAGCAUGCAGCAUGCCUGCUCUCUAUUCGUAUAAGUUUUUAAAGCUUUGCAAAGUAAGAGACAGUGGAAUAUCUUGUUGUUUUUUGUACAUAUGAAGUUUUCUCCACCUCUGCUGUGCUCCACCAGAAACAAAAGAACACACUCAAUUUUCUUUAGACAGCCAAUUAAUCUGUGAAGACAUUGCAUUAACUCUGAAUGCAUUCAGUUUCUUUCACUUCUAGAUCACCACGGUCCUGAGAUGAGAGAUGGGUGAGGCCUUUUUCAGUGCUGGUCUUGGGCCAGGUGGGGAGUUGUCUGCCUUGGGCCUGAAACCUCUCUGGGAACAACUGAGCUGGGAAUCCCAACGGAGGCAUGGGGGAGGAUGGGGUGAAAUCAUGAGCCAAAGAGUAAAGGGACCUGCCUACACUGUUCUGGCUAAAGCUUAGCUGAAAUGGCAAAUUCCUGGUGGAAGGAUGAGGCUGGAGGUAAGAGACUAGCAUGGUGGUGGGGUGGGUGCUUAGAUAAGGGGAGGAUGACAGCCCUGGGAGUGGAGUCCAACUCUUCCAAUGCCCUUCAAACGCUGCCUCAAAUACGACCCUUCCUCCUCGCCUCACCAAACACACACUUUUUGGCUGACUCUAUUAUUAGAAGUUCCUUCGCCACACUCAGGCUUUUUAAUUCUCCACGCAUUUGCAUCUGGUGUUUUUUCCUCCCACAAUGUCCUUUCCCUGUGAUCUGCCGACUGCAGGUUUCUUUCUUGAAGGCUCAGCUGGAGUCACUUUCAUGAAGUCCUCCUGCAGCUUUGCCUCUCUGUGCCCUCACCGAGCCCUGGAGGACAGUCUUUCACCCGAGUGUCUCAUAUUUUAUUCUCUGCCCUCCUAUCUCACACUGUAUACAGAAACUAAUUCAAGACAGAGCACUGACCUAAAUGCCAGAGCUAAAUCGUAGAGCUUUUAGAGAUUUUUCAAGCUAUUAGGAAAUAUUUUUGAGACUUGGUGGUAGUAACUACUUUUUAGAGAGGAUACAGAAAAGAAUAUAUGUUUAAAUAAUAAAUUUACCUUGAUUAAAUAAAAAAUGUUGCCCAUCAAGGGAAUAUUCAGAAAAUGUACAGGUAAAUGACAAAAAAGGACAAAAUAUUCACAAAAUGCAGCCUAACGAAGAACUGGUAGCCGGAAUAUUGAAAGAACUACAAGUCAAUAAUAAAAAGACAAACAACCCAGUAAAAGUGGGGAAAAUAUUUAAAUAGAUACGUCACAAACAGAAUGUAUUAGUGGUGAAAGAACAUAUGAAGUAAGUCACAAAGUGGCUUCAUAUUAUGAUAUUCAAAAUGUUAAUUUUCAAAACUGUAGUUAUGAGGCAUGCGAAGAAGCAAGAAAAUAUGGUUAAUUUACAGGAAAAGAAAACAAAAUAGAAACUAUCCCUGAUGAAGCACAGAUAUUGGGCUUUCUAGAUAGCUUUUGAAUCAGAAGUCUUAAAUGUGCUCAAAGAAUUAAAGGAAACUGCAGACAAAUAACUAAAGGACAUGACUAGAAUAACGCAUGAACAAAUAGCAAACAUAUAAAGAGACAGAAAAUCAAAAUGAAUUGAUUAGGAAAGUGGCACAACAUAAAAUGAAGAAAGGUGGCUGAAUGGAACUCUCCAAUGACCAUCCUGCAGAAACAUCAAAUUGAACAACUAUCCAUGCAAGAAAGCCCCUUCAUAAUACUAGGUGAGAGAUCACAGUAUCUAGUUUUAGCAUAAGAUGGAAAGAUGUAUUGAAGUGGGUAGGAAGGCAGUUUCUCAUUGUCGACACCAUCCCUCCCCCAGCCCCAGGCAGUGCAUCAGGGAGAAAAAAUCUGUGUGCUUGGAUGAGGGAGAGCAAGGUGAGGAUGGGACUUUGCAUUAGAACUCAGAGCUCGUUGUCACAGUGGAACAGCCCACCAGGCCAAACUCCACUGACACCCGCAGAAGGGGCAUUUAGAUGAGCCCCGGGC